rnacentral:rRNA from 1 species
UACGUAGGUGGCAAGCGUUGUCCGGAAUUAUUGGGCGUAAAGAGCUCGUAGGCGGUCUGUUGCGUCCGCUGUGAAAACUCGGGGCUUAACCCCGAGCCUGCAGUGGAUACGGGCAGACUAGAGGUAGAUAGGGGAGAAUGGAAUUCCCGGUGUAGCGGUGAAAUGCGCAGAUAUCGGGAGGAACACCGGUGGCGAAGGCGGUUCUCUGGGCCUUACCUGACGCUGAGGAGCGAAAGCGUGGGGAGCGAACAGG